rnacentral:rRNA from 1 species
AACGUAGGACGCAAGCGUUAUCCGGAGUUACUGGGCGUAAAGCGCGGGCAGGCGGCUCGAUGCGUCUGAUGUGAAAUCUCCUCGCUCAACGGGGAGAGGCCAUUGGAAACGGUCGAGCUGGAGGGCAGUAGAGGCAGGCGGAAUUCCGGGUGGAGUGGUGAAGUGCGUAGAGAUCCGGAGGAACACCAGAGGCGAAGGCGGCCUGCUGGGCUGCACCUGACGCUGAGCCGCGAAAGCCAGGGGAGCGAACGGG